CUAAGUUCAGGUAAGGACAUGUAGUGAAUUUCCCACUCUGAUUUGCUUUUUAGGGCUUUCAAGGAAAUGCUGGAACUCCCGGAGAACAAGGCCAACCUGGUGAUGCUGGGCCCAAAGGACUGUCUGGACCAAUGGGACCAAGAGGAUCUCAAGGUCCCCAAGGAAAAGAAGGUGAACCUGGCCCCGAUGGAGAGACUGGACUGCCGGUAUGUCCCGUUGUAAAAUAUUGAACAGCUG